UUGGAGGGCAAGUCUGGUGCCAGCAGCCGCGGUAAUUCCAGCUCCAAUAGCGUAUAUUAAAGUUGUUGCAGUUAAAAAGCUCGUAGUUGAAUUUCGGGAUCAAUAUAUUGGUCGUGCCUCCGGUAUGCACUGGUAUUAUUGAUUUCUACCUUCUGACGAACUGUGAUGUCAUUAAUUUGGUGUCAUGGGGAAUCAGGACUGUUACUUUGAAAAAAUUAGAGUGUUUAAAGCAGGCACACGCUUGAAUACAUUAGCAUGGAAUAAUGAAAUAGGACGUUUGACCCUAUUUUGUUGGUUUCUAGGAUCGACGUAAUGAUUAAUAGGGAUAGUUGGGGGCAUUAGUAUUCAAUUGUCGGAGGUGAAAUUCUUGGAUUUAUUGAAGACUAACUACUGCGAAAGCAUUAGCCAAGGAUGUUUUCAUUAAUCAAGAACGAAAGUUAGGGGAUCGAGGACGAUCAGAUACCGUCGUAGUCUUAACCAUAAACUAUGCCGACUAGGGAUCGGAUGAUGUUAAUUUUAUAAUGACUCAUUCGGCGCCUUACGGGAAAC
rnacentral:rRNA from 1 species